UUAUACAGUGAAACUGCGAAUGGCUCAUUAAAUCAGUUAUCGUUUAUUUGAUAGUACCUUACUACUUGGAUAACCGUGGUAAUUCUAGAGCUAAUACAUGCUUAAAAUCCCGACUGUUUGGAAGGGAUGUAUUUAUUAGAUAAAAAAUCAAUGCCUUCGGGCUCUUUGAUGAUUCAUAAUAACUUUUCGAAUCGCAUGGCCUUGUGCUGGCGAUGGUUCAUUCAAAUUUCUGCCCUAUCAACUUUCGAUGGUAGGAUAGUGGCCUACCAUGGUUUCAACGGGUAACGGGGAAUAAGGGUUCGAUUCCGGAGAGGGAGCCUGAGAAACGGCUACCACAUCCAAGGAAGGCAGCAGGCGCGCAAAUUACCCAAUCCCGACACGGGGAGGUAGUGACAAUAAAUAACGAUACAGGGCCCUUUUGGGUCUUGUAAUUGGAAUGAGUACAAUGUAAAUACCUUAACGAGGAACAAUUGGAGGGCAAGUCUGGUGCCAGCAGCCGCGGUAAUUCCAGCUCCAAAAGCGUAUAUUAAAGUUGUUGCAGUUAAAAAGCUCGUAGUUGAACCUUGGGCUUGGCUGGCCGGUCCAUCUUUUUGAUGCGUACUGGACCCAGCCGAGCCUUUCCUUCUGGGUAGCCAUUUAUGGCGAACCAGGACUUUUACUUUGAAAAAAUUAGAGUGUUCAAAGCAGGCCUUUGCUCGAAUAUAUUAGCAUGGAAUAAUAGAAUAGGACGUUAUGGUUCUAUUUUGUUGGUUUCUAGGACCAUCGUAAUGAUUAAUAGGGACGGUCGGGGGUAUCAGUAUUCAGUUGUCAGAGGUGAAAUUCUUGGAUUUACUGAAGACUAACUACUGCGAAAGCAUUUACCAAGGACGUUUUCAUUAAUCAAGAACGAAAGUUAGGGGAUCGAAGAUGAUCAGAUACCGUCGUAGUCUUAACCAUAAACUAUGCCGACUAGGGAUCGGUUGUGUGUCUUUUUUAUUGACGCAAUCGGCAC
rnacentral:rRNA from 1 species